rnacentral:rRNA from 1 species
UACGUAGGGACCGAGCGUUGUCCGGAUUUAUUGGGCGUAAAGAGCUCGUAGGCGGCUGUUCAAGUCGAGUGUGAAAACUCGGGGCUCAACUCCGAGCCUGCACUCGAUACUGGACGGCUAGAGUCUGGUAGGGGGAUCUGGAACUCCUGGUGUAGCGGUGGAAUGCGCAGAUAUCAGGAAGAACACCGGUGGCGAAGGCGGCAUCCUGGACCAACACUGACACUGAGGAGCGAAAGCCAGGGGAGCGAACGGG